UUUUUAAAAGUAUUUUUUGAGAAAUAAUCAUCGAAACAUGAACUUCUUCAUCGUGAUUUUCUGUGUUAUUGCCGGGGCUUACGGUGAAGGACAGUCGCCGUCAACAAAAAAUUAUUCAUGUCCCGGGGUUCCACCUAUGCAAAAUUUGGAAGUACCUUGGCUUAAUAGUACGUUUUAUGGAUGUGAGGAAAGUGGAACCAAUUUUCCUGACUUGAGUUGCACCUCACUGAUAUUGGUACCCAAUGGCCCUAAUGGCUGGUCUUCAAUUUUUUCUGGAUUUUCGAAGGAAACUGGUUUUCAACAAUCAUAUACAGCUGCAUGUACUGUUAAUGAAGAAAAACAUAUAAAAGUAACUUACAAUUAAUUGGUUGAAGCUACAUUAACUUUGAAUCUCUGGAUUUUGUGGACUGACUAUAAAUCCGUUGUUUAUUUGAGUUGCGACCCUAACAAUCCUGAAUCAAUUCCAAAACUUUGGUUACUCGCACAAGAUCAUAAACUUUGCUCAAGUUAUAAAGAACGUUUAGAAACCUUGAAACAACAGUGGGGCCUCAAUAUAACUACGAACUCAGUUGAUCAGAAU